rnacentral:tRNA from 1 species
CCCUGAAUGAUAUAAGCAGUUAAUAUGUUUGGCUGCUAACCAAAAGGUUGGAGGUUCGAGUCCUCCCAGAGA